CCCCUGGUGGUCCAGUGGCUAAGACUUCAUGCCUCCAAUGCAGGGGGCCCAGGUUCAAUUCCUGGCUGGGGAA
rnacentral:tRNA from 1 species